UACGUAGGGGGCAAGCGUUGUCCGGAAUUAUUGGGCGUAAAGAGCUCGUAGGCGGCUUAGUAAGUCGGCGGUGAAAUACCGAGGCUCAACCUCGGCACUGCCGUCGAUACUGCUAUGGCUAGAGUUUGGUAGAGGAGAACGGAAUUCCUGGUGUAGCGGUGAAAUGCGCAGAUAUCAGGAGGAACACCGGUGGCGAAGGCGGAUCUCUGGGCCUUACCUGACGCUCAGGCGCGAAAGCUAGGGGAGCGAACAGG
rnacentral:rRNA from 1 species